GCUCAGGAUGAACGCUAGCUACAGGCUUAACACAUGCAAGUCGAGGGGUAGCAGGGUAGCAAUACCGCUGACGACCGGCGCACGGGUGAGUAACACGUAUCCAACCUUCCCAUCACUCGGGGAUAGCCUUUCGAAAGAAAGAUUAAUACCCGAUAGUACUUUUUUGAGGCAUCUUGAGAAAGUUAAAGAUUUAUUGGUGAUGGAUGGGGAUGCGUUCCAUUAGAUUGUUGGUGAGGUAACGGCUCACCAAGUCUUCGAUGGAUAGGGGUUCUGAGAGGAAGGUCCCCCACAUUGGUACUGAGACACGGACCAAACUCCUACGGGAGGCAGCAGUGAGGAAUAUUGGUCAAUGGGCGAGAGCCUGAACCAGCCAA
rnacentral:rRNA from 1 species